rnacentral:misc_RNA from 1 species
GAUGAAGGAACGCAGCGAAAUGCGAUAAGUAGUGUGAAUUGCAGAAUUCAGUGAAUCAUCGAAUCUUUGAACGCACAUUGCGCCCUUUGGUAUUCCAAAGGGCAUGCCUGUUCGAGCGUCAUUUGUACCCUCAAGCUUUGCUUGGUGUUGGGCGUCUUGUCUCUAGCUUUGCUGGAGACUCGCCUUAAAGUAAUUGGCAGCCGGCCUACUGGUUUCGGAGCGCAGCACAAGUCGCACUCUCUAUCAGCAAAGGUCUAGCAUCCAUUAAGCCUUUUUUUCAACUUUUGACCUCGGAUCAGGUAGGGAUACCCGCUGAACUUAAGCAUAUCAAUAAGCGGAGGA